ensembl:lncRNA
AGCUUCUGCUGCGGUUGACUAGCAAACUCACCAUUAAUUAUUGAUCUGGCCUGUCAAGCUCUAACAUCAAUUACUGCAACCAAGGCACACAGGUCUUUGGAGUUAAAAACAUUCAUAACCUUUGCAGGGGAAAGGCUUACUUUUUUGGCUCCAGAGUACUGUUUUUCUUGUACAACACAUCAUGACUCCUGUACAUACAAUCUCCACUUGCAUGCGGCUGUCUCCCAGCUCAGCCUCAAUGCGCUGUGAGCAUAAGAGGCUGCCACAGGUUGAACCAUGGGAGUUAAGGCACUUGACACAACUUACAUACACAAUGACGGGCAGAUGAACGAAGCUGGGAUCUCUGAUACUGCUGAGCUGCAGCACUACCAGAAGGUCAAGGAACUGUGUCCAGCCAUUCCUGCAUCAGGGUUUCAGGCACCUGUUAUCACCACCACCCUGUUUGCUUCACUUGUGUACCUGUGCAGCACAGAGGGAAAGCACUCAACCCAGAUCCAGGAAAAGAAUCCAAAUGGGACAUGAAUACUGGAAUUAGUAAUUUGUCCAAGAGUGAAACAUAAAAGAAAUUUCUCUUAAGAAAUCAUCUUAAAGAUGGUAGAUAAUAGACUCUAUUUCACUGUACUUUACCGGAGAACAUUUUGCACCACGAACACAGGAGCUCUCCAGGUAGCUGAAGAAGCCUUUGAUUUUGAUCUUUGUUUCCCAGUCCUUAUGAAGUGGCGAUAGAAAUGGACAUGAGGCAGAGAUGAUAGUUGUUGGCAUUCUGCACUGGCGCCUGGGAAGGGGAAAAAGCAAAUUUUUUGCAUGUUUAACUGAGCUUACUUCACUAGGGAUGCUGCUGGCCUCGUAAGGCUAUUGUCUUGGUACAAUAUGUUUUUGUACUUUUAUGAAUGGGCUAUUUAUGUAGAUUCUAUGGAAGAUCUUCAUUUGCUGAAAGACAAUGGAGAGAGAUGAGGAUCUCUUCCACAGGGCUACAGAUGUGAAACUGGAGGGUCCCAUGAGUAUUUCGGAGAUAAAGUCCAUUGUCCUUAGACUGAAAUGGAAGAAAUGUUCAAGUUUUAAACAGCAACAAAAC